CGCGAGUUUUCCUCAUAUCGUGCAGUCCUACUAAACAGCAUGCUACUUAAGUUACUUUCUUCUAACAAAUACAACAUUUAAACAGAAACAUAUAAGUAUAGCAGUCUAAGAUAAGUAAAUCAUAAAACAGAAAACAUUUUCAAUGUAUACCUUUCUGAAGUGGGAAUCGACAUGAUGCAUUUUUAGUGGAUUGGUCAGCUAAACCCAAACAAUGGAAUGGUAGUUUUUCAAACAUCCAAACGGCUGCAGAAGUUAGAAGCACAUUGGCUCCAUGUUUACUGAACAAUACUGCUGUCAUUAGAAGGAAAAAUACUUUCAAAAUGAGAGAAUAAAAAAUAGAAUUGGGAAAAUCUGAUCUAAUCUUUAUAACUAAAUGUAAUGAUUGCAUUUUAUAUUCUUGGACAAACAUGUCAUUGCUACAUAGUGUGAAGUCUAAAUGCUUCUUUCUUUUGCAAAAAAAAUAAAAAGUCUGCUUUCAUUGUGAGGAUUAGGUCAAAGACAAGUUGUUUCUAUGUGUGAAACUUUAAUAAGAUUAGAAACUCUUUUGAUCAUAAUCUUGAAGGAGAAGGAAAUGAGGAAAAGCUGAUCCAGUGUCCAUGGGUUUUGGGGGAACACUUUGAUGUUCAAAUGCGAUGGAAACACAAGCAGAAGGAGUGAGCUGAUGAGUAGAGCUAUUACUAGUUUCCAUGAUGUAAUUUUCUAUCGUACAGUACUUACUACAACAUGAAGCCUCUGUGCUAUUGCCCUCAGUGUGGUUUGAAAAAAACGGGUGUGCUAUGAUCACCCUUACACAUGGCAUUUAAAUAGUGAGAAAGUCUUGCUGUGUUAAGGUCAAGAAUUAGUGUCUGAAAAUGAAAUACAAGCCUAAAGGAGAGAAGAGAGGAAAUAGAACUGGCUGUACAGAGGGCUAAAAUAACAGUCUGACUACACAAUCUUACCUCCAUCUGCUUCUGAUUACUCACUAUCCUUCAGACAGAGGGGAGGUGGGGGGCAUGGAGCAAAAACUUGUGUCAGUGCAGGCUUUACAUGACUGACAGAGACUGGGAACAAACCCGCUUAAGCCUUGUUCCCUAAAGCUGGAAAAAUCAUUGGUCGCAACCUUCCAUCCAUCGAGACCAUCUACAGAGAACGCAGCAGGAGGAGAGCGGCGAAGAUCAUCAGGGACAGACACCACCCCGCCCACACACUGAUCCGUUGCGUGGACUCAGGCCACAACCUCGGACGCCGCAGGCCUGAAAGCCUCCAUGCACACACCACACGCUUCCACAACAGCUUCUUCCCAGUUGCAAUCAGAAUGUUAGCACAGGACAUUAGAGAGGGAAGACUGGACUGAACUGAACUGAACCACACAACAUGCUAACCAGCUGGGACGCUAAGUGCAAUGAACAAUUAACUACCACAAUAUGUCAAACACAUGACAGAAGUGCAAUAAUGAAAAGGUUGGGAUGCUGCAAUAUUUUAUAGUUUUGUAUUUUUACUUUACUCCUCUCUUUCUUAAAUUGUGUUCCAUAUCUUAUUUAUGAACCUUGUUAAUUUAGUUAUUUUGUUGUCUUUCUGUAAUCACCCUGACUUGUACAAAAGGCAACAAACCCUUUAAACCUUAAAUAAACUCAGUUUCAAGUAUUUACUGGAAUAUGUUUACAUAAUUUUUCUUUUCUUGAUAUAUAGUGUAAUUACAACUGACCGUGCCUUGAAAAAUGUAUGGUCAUUUAAAUGUAACUGCAUUAUCAGAGAAAUAAGACAAAACAAACACUAUUAAUAAGAGUAUUAGUCUUUUGACCUGUGACAAAGGUGAACAGAGCCAAACAACACCUUAAAAAUAAUUAACAAAAUAUAUGCAAAAAAUAUCUAAUAUAAAAGAUGAAAAGCUUUGUGUGUUUUUGAAUGUCAGACAGUUGAUUAGAUUUUUAAAUAAUUCGGUAUCUUUGAGUGUUUCCAAAUAUUAUUUUCCUCCAAACUCAACUUAAGACUUUUGAUGUUGAUGUUGUUUUAUAGUUCAAUAAAAGUAUAACAUUAAACUGUAAGUAAUUCUAUCCAACAUUUACCUUUUUUUAGCUUAUUUUUCCCUUUUUAAAUAUGUAUGUAGAAAUGUAUGUUAACAGAUUUUGAUAUCGUAUGAGAAAAUCGCUAGAAAGCAGUGAAAUCAUCUGUCCAUGUAUAUAAUUUGUCUUCAGAAUGGUGUUCUUUUCCUAAUGUUUAAGCUCUCUCUGUUUGCAGUAUAGUUUUUAAGUAUGCACGUAUGUACUGGUAAUUCAAAUAAAAACGUUGCACAUUCCAAAUACA